GUAGAGUUCAAAGAAUCAAGACAUCCACAAUUAAACAUCUUGUAAAGUAUCAUAAAUAGGAAAAAAAAGUAUGCUUUUGAACUUGAAAGUGGUAACGUGCAAAGGGAAAGACAACUGAAUGAUGAGAAAACUUAUGUUUAUACUUCUACCUAAAAUGAUUACAAUGUUAACAAAACUGAGCUUCUCCAUGCUAUAAGAGAAUAUCAUAUUUUGCUUCUCAUUCUAACUAACUUUGCUAGUGUUUCUUGCGCAGCCAAGGUUUGGGCAUUGUUGUGGCCAAGCAUCACUGUCCGGAUACUUGUACAAGUCCUACAUAAUUUCUCGCCACUAUCAAAAUGCCCGCCUCUCAGCAGCAACUUUGCCCUAGUUUCAAGUAAAGUAGCCUUCAACAAAGUUACAUCGUGCCACACAUAUUCAUCCACUCUUUGAUGUCCUUGUAUUGUCUUCUUCCAACAAAGUGAAUCAUGGCACCUGUCUUGUAUUUGUGACACAAAUGUCUUCUCUACUUCUUCAAGCACAUUAGUGCACACUUUCAGAAGCUCCAGUGCUGAAUUACACCUUGAGAAGGUUGUGAAGGCUCUAAUUGCUAGUGGGAGUGCUGUCUUUUUUAUGUACAAAACAAUAUCAAUUGCCUUCAACUGGACAAGUGGGGGUUCAGAUUUGAAUCCAAAGACAAGGAAUGCAGAUGCCCAUAAAUGAUCAGAGUUGAUCAUCGGGUUGCCAAUUUUCCUUACUCCUUGAACAGUGGCCUUGGCAGCUGAUAAACCUUCUUUUCUUCUUGCAAACACUUGAGUUAUGGGGUGGAACUGAAUCCAGCAAGCAGGAUGCCUGUUAGCUUUCCGUGCUAGUCCUAGUUUAACAAGAAGAAUGGCAGAAUCUUCUUCACUUUGGGGCGCUAAUCCACAACCAGAGCAGCAGGCAAAUGGAAGGCUUAGACAUUUGGUCCAUUUUUUAAAUCUAUUUCCAAUAGUAGGCAUAUCCUUAGCUGCUGUUGCCAGCAAAGUUACUGAAAUGGGUGCUGGAGCAAACCAAGCACCAACGAGAAGCAUUCUGGAGGCAAGAACGUUCUUUGUCCCAUUGGUUUGCUGCAGAACAUUGAGACAAAAAUUUAGAAGCUUCAUUAGGAAAGGAUUGUUUUUACAGUAUUGUUCAUCAUUUAUGCUCAUAUAGGAGCAUGCAGAACCAUCUUCAGGUGGAACUUGAUUAACUGCUUCGAAGAGUUCUGAUGGAGAAAUUGAAAACUCUGAAAGAAGUGAUCCAAUCACCCAUAAACCAAAGCUCAACCUUCCCAAUUUCUCAUCAAAUUUCUGAAGAAAUUCUAGCUCAUCGCGUUGGUAGUCCUUUUUCCUUCGCCCUCUCAUUAAGAUCAUUGCAUCUGCCAAUGGCAAUGGUGGAAGCUGCAUCAUCUCAAAAUUCAUCACCUUGGGUAGUCUGCUUGUGAUAAUCACGUGUGACCCUCCAGUGUUCCUUGGAAUCAAAUCAUACAGGUCCUUCCCUUCCCACCAUUCUGUUUCUGUCUCAAGAUUGUCAAUAAUAAGUAGAUAUGGCACGUCUCGGAACAGCUCCCUUUUGACUCUUUUGAAUGCUUCAAAUUCUUGCUCUUCAAAGCUUCUAAUUCUCUCUCGUUCCUUUUCACCAUCAGCGCUCACAUCCAACCCCAGAUUAAGUGAGAGAUUUAGUAUGUUCUGCCUGAGAUAUCGAGCUUCGCCACCAACCCACAAAAUCAUUUUAUAUCUCUGAGAAUACCUAUAAGCAAAUUCAAGUGCAAGCUCUGUCUUUCCAAUGCCUGCAACGCCAUUUAUGCAAAAAACACUGCUGCAACCCAGGCACUUGUAAUUCCCACUUUUUGAUUUCUUGUGUUUUGACCUCUUCCAGGAAUUCCUUCCAAUAACUGGUUCCACCCAGGCCUCCAAUGCUGGUUCUUUGCACUUACCUCCGAACUCCAAAUUAAUAUAUCUCUCCCCUUGGGUGAUGGCUGUCUCACUUUCAUCAUUUCCAAGGUCCCCGGAUUGCUCAUGGGCUUCUCCUUGUACUAUUGGAAUUGAGUACUUAUGUUCAAGAGUAUCCCCACAUCCAAAUAAGGCAGUUUCAAUCUCCAUGAUCUCCUUCUCUCUACCAACAAAAGAUUUGUUUCGUGGAAAUGGAAGCUCCUCCAAUCUUUCUAUUUCAUCUUUCUCAGCCACACUCUUUCGCCCAAGUUUAGCUCUUAAUAGCCCAGCAGCUUUUGCUACACAGCUCCUCCAAUUUGCCUCAUUCGUUUCCAGUUUGAACUCAUGAUACUUCAAUAGUCCAAUUGCUUCUUUACAUUCUUUAUCAAUUGAAUUGCAGUAGAGAAGGCCCAUGAUUUCUGCAAGCUCUGUGCCAAAGAAAAUUGGAAUCAAGUUCUUCUUCUGAGCAAAGAAUCUAAUCUCCUCUAAGCUCAGAUGGUUAAGGAAGCUGGAGUUCGUCACCACCACAAUUCCAUAAGCGACUGAGCUGAUAACUCUGUCUGCAAUCUCGUGGUUUUGAUCUGAGUAUUUGGAUCUAUCCGCAACAAAGCAAGCAAUUCCCUGGAGCUCUAGCUCAGAUUUAAGCCAUUUACAGAAACGGAUAAGAUUAGGAUUCUGGCCAUGGAAGCCAAUGUAAACGUCACAGCUCCUGAGUUUGGCAUUGGAAGCUGGGGAAACAGACCCUUUGAAGGAAAUGCGAGGGACAGGAAAUGAGAAGGAGAUGCGUGGUGGGGCAGGAUCUGGUACUGGAACACAGGUCACAUACUUGAGCUUUGCAUCAGCUGGGUCAUCAGAAUAUUCGUAUUGGUCUGAUGGGAGAGUGUAGGAGCUGCUUGGUAUGUCAUCUGAUUGUGAGCCCCGAUAUGAUGAGACCUGUGGUGAUGGAUAGGUGACCGGUGUUGGAUUCUCUGGUGGAGUAGGUUUUGGGGUUAUAGCUCUUGGUGAUAUAUAUGGUGAUUGCAGGGCUGAAACAAAUGCUGAUGAUGGUGGAGACACUAGGGAAGGAGAGUUUAAUGGGGAUGAUUCAAUCGAGUUCUUUAAGUUUGGAGAAGGCAAAUCUGAAUUUGAAGAAGCAAGGAGAGUUGAGAUGCCUUUACCAGUUUUGCUGCAAGAAGUUGAAAUCUUGAUGGUGAGCCCAUUUGGAGGUUCCUGAGGAAGUUGACUAGAGAGUGAUGCUUCUUCAUCCAUGGCCAUGAAUGAAGCUUCUCAAAUCUUGAUAUCUGCAGUAGAUCUCACUUCUCUUUAGAAAGCUAAACUUCACAAUAUUCUCCACCAGAAAACUUAGUACCUCUCGGUGGAUGUACUCUGAACAAUGUCACAGACUGGAAGGUCACAAAGACGCUCCAUUAUUUGCUUCACAGGAACCAUUUUUGGCUAAGAAAAGCUUGGCUGUUUCUCCAUUGGAUUGGAUUCCUUCCUCACAUUGAAGCUGACAGACACAUUUAAGUGAGUGGUUCUGACAAAAGACUAUGGCCAAAGCCCAGAAGCAGAUGAAUGCAACAGUAAGUAAUGCUUAUGCAGGAGAAUCUGCAUGUGACGCAUACCUGUAUCACCUCUUAGUGUGGCCCUCUCAGUCAGACCCAUAACUGUAUUUUUCUGCCUCUGGAGGUGGAUUUGACUAAAAGACUAUUAACAUAUGAGGGAAUAGCUCCUUCUUGUCCACACAUUAAUGCUUGGAGAUGGGAAGCAUUCAAGCUGUGCUCUGAGACAAUAGAUGAUCUUUAAAUCAGAUUUACUGGAAACUGUAUGGAGGUUGUUUUGUUAAUCUCUGUCAAUAAUAUUGGUCAUCAUAUGAAGUAAAGAAGAGCUAUAAAUCAUUAAAAACCAAUUAAAGUAUACAACCCCAAGUAGAGAAUCAUUGAAAUUACCUUUGCUUUGUUCUGGGUUUGAGGCACAAAGGAAAAGAGAGGCCCUUCUCUGCUGCAGCUCUUCAAAAAUCAAAACCUACCCCCUUCUGUCUCUCUCUCUCUCAUAAGUCAUAACAAGCUGUACAGAAGGAGGAAUCUGACGUUUGGG
rnacentral:misc_RNA from 1 species